UACGUAGGGUCCCAAGCAUUAUCCGGAUUUAUUGGGCGUAAAGCACAUGUAGGUGGUUAUGUCAGUCGCUGCUUAAAUCUCUGGGGCUCAAACCCAGAUCCUCGGCGAGCGAGACGGCGAUGACUAGUGGUCGGCAGGGGUGGAACGGAAUUCUCGGUGUAGGAGUGAAAUACCGUUGAUAUCGAGAGGAACACCAAUGGCGAAGGCAGUUCACUAGGCCGAUUCAGACACUGAGAUGUGAAAGCGUGGGGGAGCG
rnacentral:rRNA from 1 species